ensembl:lncRNA
CACUGAGAGUGAGGACACAGAAGAGACUGCAGAUCUUCAGUGGAAUUCAAAAAAUGGGCAGAUUCUCUGGUCUUCCACUCACACUGAGACGCUGCGCUACAAUCCUGCCAAGGGUAUGACCCCGGGUCCCACACACUAUGCAACUGCCCGCAUCACAACUUUGCAGUCCUGCUUCGACCUCUUCAUCACCGAAGAAAUCAUUCAGCUUCUUCUGGAGAACACUAAUUUACACGGGAGGCGUUUUGUGACGGAUUGGAUUGAUUUCGAUUCCACUGACAUUCAGGCAUACAUCGGGCUGCUGAUUCUGGCCGGUGUGUACAAGUCCCGAAAUGAAUCAACAAGAAGCCUGUGGGAUGUGGAAAACGGACGUUCCAUUUUUCCGAACCACCAUGUCCCACCGUAAAUUCAAGCUCCUGAGCUCCACCCUGAGGUUCGAUGACAGGAUGACACGACCUGCACGUUACAUGCAUGACAAGAUGGCUGCAUUUCGGACCAUCUGGGAGAAGUGGACACAUCGCCUUCCCCUGCUGUUCAACCCAGGCCAGGAUGUCUGUGUGGAUGAGCAGCUCGUCCCUUUCAAAGGCCGAUGCAGAUUUCGCCAGUACAUGCCCAGCAAGCCUGCCAAGUAUGGCAUAAAAAUUUGGGUCACCUGUGAUGUCACCACAUCCUAUGCAUGGAAGUUGCAAAUUUACACGGGGAAGUCUCCUGGAAGUCCUGCGGAGGUGAACCAAGGAAAAAGGGUCAUUCUGGAAAUGACGGAGGGGCUCCAGGGGAACACUGUGACCUGCGACAAUUUUUUCACCUCCUAUGGACUGGCGGAGGAGCUUCUAAAGAGGAAGAUGGCCCUAGUCGGCACACUCGCAGGAACACGCCAGAGCUUCCCCCACAGCUGCUGCAAAUAAAGCAUAGAGCACUUCUGUCCUCCCUCUUUGCUUUUACUAAGACGCACACAGCUGUGUCUUACGUACCCAAACGAGGGAAGAAUGUGCUGCUCCUUAGCACCAAGCACCGCGAGCCAGCAAUGAGCGACACUGAAAAAAAGAAGCCAGUGAUCAUCACAGACUACAACCGCUGCAAAGGAGGUGUCGACAACCUGGACAAGGUUGUUGGCACCUACAGCUGUAGGAGAAGAACAUGUCGGUGGCCAGUGGUUCUAUUCUACAACCUUGUAGAUGUGUCUACCUUCAACUCCUUUGUACUGUGGUCAGCCGUGGAUCCCUCCUGGAACCAGGGCAAAACAUUUAGACGGAGGCUGUUUUUGGAGGAACUGGGGAAAGCACUUGUGAUGCCGCAAAUUUCACGAAGACAGCGCAUCCCCCGCACACCAUCUACGUCCACCACGAUGGAGGAUCAACAGCAGGGAGACCCAAACACCAAAAAGAGGAAGGUCUGCACGUUCUGCACUGACAAAAAGAAAAAAAGUGCUUCCACCUGCAACAAGUGUGGCAAGCAUAUCUGCAAAGUCCACACAAUCACAUACUGCAGCUCCUGCUGUGAGUGA